GGGCCAUUAGCUCAGUUGGUAGAGCACCUGACUCUUAAUCAGGGUGUCCACGGUUCGAGCCCGUGAUGGCCCACCA
rnacentral:tRNA from 1 species